rnacentral:lncRNA from 1 species
AACCUUAGGUCAUAUUCUGAAUUGAUUCAUACUAACAGUUAAUCAGACAGAUUUUUUUGUCAGACUGGGGACCAAUUCCCUACCCUAUCUGCUAGACUUUGUCCAAGUGAGAAAAGGCAGUAGGCCAAGAGUCCAUUUAAUCACCAUUGUCCAUGGCAAAUAUUGAAAUUGAACAUAAACAGGGUAACAUUUAUUUAAAGAUUUGUGCAAUAGAUUAGCAGAAUUCUCACUACUAACUUAUUGCUUCAUAUUACAUAGAUUCGGAUGGAGUCAUAGACCAUACAGCAUAGGGGAAAGGAAAAAGAAAACAGAUUAAAAGCCAUCAACAGUGAACACAGCUCGGUGAACUACUACAAGACAAAAUCAGUUUUACUUGAAGAAACCCUGAGCAACCUUGACGUAAUCCCCAACGCCAGCGCUUCCAGAAUCCUUGCCAUCACCACCGCUUGCAUGCGGCUCUGACUUUGCAGGCUCAGGGUUGGUCGGGGUGUCAGACUUUUUGGUGCCCGGGGUCGCUCCGGAAGACUCGUAUUGGUGCAGGUAAUUCUCUGCCUUAUCAACAUAUUGUCCAAUUCCCUUCUCCUGAUCCAGUUUGCCAUAGCCUUUGGCAGCACCUAGAAGAUCAGCAGCUGCACCAGCAACCUUCCCCUUGUCAACCUUAUCGCUUUCAUUGCUGAAUGUGGAUUUUGCUGCCCCGGCUACCACCUUAGCACUAGAGAACAGUUCAGAGGAAGUUGGGGUACGGUCUUUCUCUGACGCCAUUGUUAAGUCUGGGAGAGCUCUAGCAAAAAGUUUAUCA